AUCGCAAGUAUCGAUACUUUUGUAAGUAUCGAUGUUCAAUAAAAGCCAACAUUAAAUCGAGUUUUAGAUCAAAAUAUUCGUUGUAAAACCUUUAUUUUUUCGAUUUUAUCCAAGUAUUACCACUUAUCUUUAAAGAAUGGACUUUCUUGUGUUCUUAGCCGUUAAAAAAGGGCUGCAAAUUCCUUCAAAAGAUGCUAUUCUGUGAAGCUUACUGAAUUACAACACGUGGUUGAAGCUUGAAGUGUGAUGGUCUUUUCGCCUCGAUACCAGCGCCGUAACCUGUUCACAAGGUGCUGAAAAUACUCUGGCGUGUCUGCUUCUAAGGUAUUUGGGCUUGUUCUUGUGUUGAUAUAGUUUAAAUCUUGAUGUAUGAAAGAUAUAACAUAUGUCUCAAUUUGCUGGGGUUUAUUAAAAGCAGGGUUUUAAUUAAAAAUUAUCAACCAACGUAGUUAGUGCCAGUGGUAACAAGCUUGUGUUAGUAAGGAUUCAACUAUCUCAAAAAAAAACAAAGCGAAAUAAAACGUUUUCAGCGAAGGCCUUUUUUGGCAACGCCUAGAUUAUGCAUCAGUCAAUUCCAGCUGCGAUUACCCCUCCCCCCCGGACAGUGUGGGGCAUUUGUAUGCUUACUUGUCCCCAUGGCCAGGCACUUGCAGCUGCGUGUUCACCCGGGGGCCGGGCAUUUGUCAAUAUCAGGUUAUUACCCCCGGGCAUUUGUUGCUCACAGAGAAAAGACUGCGGCCACAAGUUUCCUUCGUUGUAUGCCAAAAUGGACGACUAUUAAAUAUGAAUUUUUUUCUGUGUUGGUGUUGUGUACUCAGGUGAAUAAUAUGUUUGCGAUGUUACUCUGAGUGCAUAUCCACACCGGGCGAGCUUGAAAAAUAUGCCCGGCCACGGUGGGAUUCGAAUCCCACCGUGGUUCGACCCACCGUGGUUCGUAGAUUCGAAUCCCACCGUGGCCGGGCAUAUUUUUCAAGCUCGCCCGGUGUGGAUAUGCACUCAGAGUAACAUCGCAAACAGACUAUUAAAUAUGUUAAACAAAUUUUAUGUUAUAUUAUUGUUGAAUGUUGGUUUUCAAGUGUGAAUCAAUGUUUAAGAUUUUCCUUUAGUCCAUAUUAUAUAUAUUGUAUUUACAAUGAAAAACUUUCUGCAAUAAAACGGGUUUCAGAAUGAGCUGCCGGCUACUUUUCGUUUACCCUGGUUGCCAGAGGUUCUGUAUCUUUCGCCUUAUUCCCACUCAUAUUUAUUUUAUGCGAGGCGAAGAGAACCUCUGGUGGCACGCAAUACAAAUCUCUCUUCCUUUGGUACAAAAUUUGUACCAAGCACAUGAUUGGUUAGUUAUAAUUAGCAGUCACAUGAAGUGAUGUGAUUGGCUAAUAAUACGAACGUAUUAAAUUUAAAAUGCUUACUCAGUGCGGGUUAUUUGUUCCGCUAUAAAAAUAUUUUCUGCGCUGGAGAAGAGCUGCCAUCGCAGCAUGACAUGUUCACUCUAUACAGUAGUAAUAUUUGUAAAAUAUAAAGUGUUGGUCACUUGCUUAUUGUUCAAGGUUUUAAAUUUUGUCAAACAGUCUGAAGAGAGCUAUUUUGGUAGUAUGACAAACCCGGAAGUUUAAAAACGUCACAAAAUAUAAAACUGGUUUUGCAAGUUCUCAAAUAACCUGAGUAUCAGGCUCUAUUUUACAAAUAGAGCCUGACACAAAACUUAACCUGAUCGCUUUCCGCCCACAGCAAAGUUUAUAUUUAGUAUCCAAUCAAAAUGUCGCAGGAGAAAUUUAAAUUUCACUCAACGACAACAACAAUCUAAUUAUAGCAUAGGCAGCCCACUAAACGGCUGAAUUUAAAUUAAAACUGCAAUGAACUUAUAAAAUUAACAAAAAUAAUCACAAAUUAGCGAAAUAUAUUGCAAAUGUAGCUUAUAUUAAAUCGUCACCCGAUUGCUCUCUCAUCCGCAGAGGUUUCAGUGACUACAAUGAGCUUUACAUGGCGCUUGCCGUAUUUAUCAACAAACUGACGUAUAAUUAUAAAGUAUAUAUAUACAUAUUAAAUAUACUUUAUAACUAUACGUCAGUUAGUCGACAGUGCAAUCUGAUGGCAAUUUAAUAUAAGCUACAUUUGCAAUAUAUUUCGCUAAUUUGCGAUUAUUUUCUAAUGUUACUGCAGUUUUAAUUUAAAUUCAGCCGUUUAGUGGGCCAGCUAUAAUUGUAGUUGUGAUCGUUAUAAAAUAUAUCAACAACAAUAGUAUAAUCUAAUUAGCACCAGCCAAUCAAAUGACAGAUUUAAAAAAUUGUUUGUCUAAUCGGCCAAUCAGCGCUCAGUCCAGAUUCUGGACUGAAUAACCAGGCAAAAUGCCGCUUUUGUGUCAGGCCGUACUUUUCUCCCCUUCGCCCGCGAUCAGGCGUGCCUGUGCCCUAAAAAGUACGGCCUGAUACUCAGGUUAGUUCUCAAACAGCAACGUCAGCAUGGAGAUUUGUAUCGCGUGCCACCAGAGGCUCUCUUCGCCUCGCAUAAAAUAAAUACGAGCAGGAAUAAGGUGAAAGAUACAGAACCUCUGGCAACCAGGGUACUUUUCGUUUGGUCACAGGAAAAAAAUUAUAUACAAAGGUACAAGCGAACCAACACGAUGUUUGUUAUGUUUCAAUUGGAAUUCAAACAAAACAUCACUUAUUUUGGAAGAUCAAUAAGACCAACAUAGCUUGCUUUCUUAAUAAGUUGCUGUCGAAAAAGUGAUAAUAUAAACAUUCUUAAUUGUUUUCUUGUCGCCAUCUUGAAUUUCGUAGCAAAUGGUCAGCGGCUCUGAAUCUUCCUGAACAGGAAGAAGUAAGAUGACUCUGAUAGCGACUUAAGCAUUGGGGAAUCAGAAUUUGGCAGUGAGCCAGAGAACGAGUCCGAUUCAGAGCUACUUUGGUAAAUGUUUUUCAA